UAAUUUGAGAGUUUGAUCCUGGCUCAGGACGAACGCUGGCGGCGUGCCUAAUACAUGCAAGUCGAACGAACUCUGGUAUUGAUUGGUGCUUGCAUCAUGAUUUACAUUUGAGUGAGUGGCGAACUGGUGAGUAACACGUGGGAAACCUGCCCAGAAGCGGGGGAUAACACCUGGAAACAGAUGCUAAUACCGCAUAACAACUUGGACCGCAUGGUCCGAGUUUGAAAGAUGGCUUCGGCUAUCACUUUUGGAUGGUCCCGCGGCGUAUUAGCUAGAUGGUGGGGUAACGGCUCACCAUGGCAAUGAUACGUAGCCGACCUGAGAGGGUAAUCGGCCACAUUGGGACUGAGACACACGGCCCAAACUCCUACGGGAGGCAGCAGUAGGGAAUCUUCCACAAUGGACGAAAGUCUGAUGGAGCAACGCCGCGUGAGUGAAGAAGGGUUUCGGCUCGUAAAACUCUGUUGUUAAAGAAGAACAUAUCUGAGAGUAACUGUUCAGGUAUUGACGGUAUUUAACCAGAAAGCCACGGCUAACUACGUGCCAGCAGCCGCGGUAAUACGUAGGUGGCAAGCGUUGUCCGGAUUUAUUGGGCGUAAAGCGAGCGCAGGCGGUUUUUUAAGUCUGAUGUGAAAGCCUUCGGCUCAACCGAAGAAGUGCAUCGGAAACUGGGAAACUUGAGUGCAGCAGAAGAGGACAGUGGAACUCCAUGUGUAGCGGUGAAAUGCGUAGAUAUAUGGAAGAACACCAGUGGCGAAGGCGGCUGUCUGGUCUGUAACUGACGCUGAGGCUCGAAAGUAUGGGUAGCAAACAGGAUUAGAUACCCUGGUAGUCCAUACCGUAAACGAUGAAUGCUAAGUGUUGGAGGGUUUCCGCCCUUCAGUGCUGCAGCUAACGCAUUAAGCAUUCCGCCUGGGGAGUACGGCCGCAAGGCUGAAACUCAAAGGAAUUGACGGGGGCCCGCACAAGCGGUGGAUGCAUGGUUUAAUUCGAAGCUACGCGAAGAACCUUACCAGGUCAGGUCUUGACAUACUAUGCAAAUCUAAGAGAUUAGACGUUCCCUUCGGGGACAUGGAUACAGGUGGUGCAUGGUUGUCGUCAGCUCGUGUCGUGAGAUGUUGGGUUAAGUCCCGCAACGAGCGCAACCCUUAUUAUCAGUUGCCAGCAUUAAGUUGGGCACUCUGGUGAGACUGCCCGGUGACAAACCGGAGGAAGGUGGGGAUGACGUCAAAUCAUCAUGCCCCUUAUGACCUGGGCUACACACGUGCUACAAUGGAUGGUACAACGAGUUGCGAACUCGCGAGAGUAAGCUAAUCUCUUAAAGCCAUUCUCAGUUCGGAUUGUAGGCUGCAACUCGCCUACAUGAAGUCGGAAUCGCUAGUAAUCGCGGAUCAGCAUGCCGCGGUGAAUACGUUCCCGGGCCUUGUACACACCGCCCGUCACACCAUGAGAGUUGUAACACCCAAAGUCGGUGGGGUAACCUUUUAGGAACCAGCCGCCUAAGGGGGACAGAUGAUUAGGGUGAAGUCGUAACAAGGUAGCCGUAGGAGAACCUGCGGCUGGAUCACCUCCUUU
rnacentral:rRNA from 1 species